UUUCAGCCCUUUCCUGGGUAGCUUAUCAGAGUGGAAAAGAACAAACAAAACAAGAGAAAAAUAUACAUUCAGCAGUCCAUUAAUCAGUUGGUGUGUGUGUGUGUGUGUCCCAGCUGUCUUAUCUCCUCCUACCCCACUGCUCCCAGUGAGUGUCUCGCCUUCUACUGCCCAGCAACCAGCAGGUAGUUCCUACUCAGGUACAUCUUCAUCUGCUUAGCUGCCAUUCUCCCUAUAUAGCCUUUUGGAGUGGUCCUGUUUACAGAUAUGUUAGUAUCUUCAGACAUAAUAUAGCAGAAAUGAUUACAGUUACAUGGAAUGUGUUUGUUAUGUCUGCUAUGCUCGUCCUCUUCGGAGCCCUCUGUGCUGCAACAGAUGAGUUCACGCUUCCUGGCCUUCCAGGUUUCUGGCCAGACCAUCCUCUACCUGUCCACUGAGGUCCACGAACACCAACAUCAGCACACAGAAAUGUACAGAGAAGUUAAAUUAAAGCUGCUCUUUAAUUGUUUGUUAUUCUUCUUACUUUAAUGUAUUUUCUUAACUGCAUUGUUGGUUAAGGGCUUGUAAGUAGGCAUUUCACUAAGGUCUACCUACACCUGUUGUGUUCGGCGCAUGUGACAAAUAACAUUUGAUUUGAAGUACUACUGUUUUAUAUCAAUUAUGUUGAUGAAGCCUGUACAAAUCUAAUGAAUGUUAUUUUUAUUUUGUCAAAUUCUCAACUAAUGUGGAUCCCUUCUACAGACACAAUGUAAGUCUCUCUCAUAUACUGCUUUUCUAUACUCUAUAGCUGACCCAUCCACAUGUGAUGCCAGGGUUGGCCCCCAUGGCACCCAGGACCCUUCUGCUCCCUGCAGGGGGCCUUCCAGCCUUCCAAGGUACCAGUGGAAAAGAGAGUAAUGGGAACUAGGAAGUUGGGACAGAGGCAAAAUAUAUAGUAUUUAGAUAUCAUCAAGUUAUGGUGUCAUGAGUUAGUAGUGUGUGAUCAGAAGUCUACAUUUCCUUGUCUUUGUCAGACAUCAAAUGUUCUAGACAUGGCACCAGGACCUAGGACUAGGUCUGGGUCACACAAACACCUACUUGUGUGAGAAGAAUCCCAAGAGUACCCUUUAGAUCAUUUUAAUUUGUAUCGCCAAAAUGUUCUCAUUUGAAAAGUGUUUUGAGUUCUGUUUCUAUUUCGACCUACUGAACUGGAUAUUCUCUCAGAGACCAGGAAGAUGGCAUACAAUGCAUGUCCGCAAUGCUUAGCAGAUCCACCACCAUAAACUGCGGGUGAAGGUAUGAAAAUGUAUUGAACAUCCACUAAAAUGUGUAUAAAAUCCCAAAAUUAUGAUUUGUAUCGAAGCCACACAUAACUGGCACUAUAUGUCUGUCUGUCCUCCCAUUUCUCAGCAGAAAAUGCAAGUGGACUCACAAGCAAUCAACUUCGGUAUCAAGCCGGAGUUUCUGACUCAGCCUGCUGGUCCUGACCUGAUUCAAGCCAUCCACCGUCAACGGGACCUUAUUUAGUCCUCCACCCCAUUCUCUAACCAAGUCACACAGUACACAUCCUUCAUUUGGAGUUUUGGGGACAAUGAGUGCCACAGCCUUUGGUGGAAUGGCAAUCCUAGCACUAAGUGAGUAGCACAUUCAGUCUCCCUUCAGCAUUGGUUCAGUAUUAUGACAAUAUAAUCAUAAAGGAGGGAAUUGCCUUUUGAAACUCACAUUUCUUUGACUUGCUUAUUCUUCCUCUUCUUAAAAACAGAUGAUGAUCCCAUGAUCUAUCAAAGACAAUCUAAAUGCACCAAAUGGAGAAGUAGGACGAACUCCUGAGUGGUGGAGCAGGCAGCAGAAGACACCCCUGUCCUCUGAAUGACAACCUGAACGAUUCAAGCAGGAAACCUCAGGACAGGGAAUGGGGAAAGCAGCUGCACCUACCCAGAGAGAAGAUCGAGGAGAAACAGUACAUAGUGGAGAAACAUCAAGGCCACAAUGUUGCAGGGACUCUUGACAUUUCACGGGGCUAAAGAGAAGUCUGUUCCUCAGACAAUGACCUUGAAACCUGAUCAGCGGUCCAAUGGCAGACGUAGCUGGGAGUCAGGAAGAGAGGGCUUGAGUGUGAAAACCACAUAAAGGCCAAGAAGAUGAAGCGGCAGAGAGGAUGACCAGGAUUUCAAUGAUGGCCCUCAAACCCAGAACCCCACAGAGAAACCAUCUCUGACCCCUCCAAUACACACUCCAUCCUCCAUGUUGAUGCAGCACAUGACCAUAGGAAACAUUAUUCCAGUACUCUACCCAGUAAAUAGCUUAUGUAAACUGGCCCGGACUCAUGUUGGCACUCCUGUUAUUCAGCUCAUCCCCUACUCAGGAGCUGAGAGGUACCCUUACCCUGCACUUCCCUGGGACCCCCCCUAAGAGACCCACUAUGGGAUGUAUACAGAGGUAUGGACCUCCCCGUCUCCUCCCGUCAAGAGCUGAGCAUGAGGGCUGAUCCUCCACGUGGUGUAGUGGGGGCCAGGCUGUUGAAGGCAGCAGACUGGUCAUACAGAGACACUCAUCACGGCUUUCCGCACCCACCCCAUCACCCCUCACUGGCCCUGAAGCAGCAGGAGAGGGCUUACCUCAUGGAGAGAGCGUCUGACUAUGCUCAGAGAGGAAUACUACCAGCACAGCCUCCGUUCUGCCACCAUGGGAGGCCAUCUCCCCCAUCCCAGCCUCCUGACCUCCACCUAUUCCACGUGACACAUAUUUCCAUGGUGGGUCUCACACAGAGCCCCCAGAGUAGCCUCCCCAACAGAACUCUUCCCCCUGGGUCCUUAAGCACACUGGUGCCUCUGGUCCCCUUCUCUCUCCCAUUGUCUGGCGCGUCCCACAGGACUACCUCGUAAUGACAGAAAUCAGAAGACGCUAUUCUGUGAGCUUGCUUGCCUUAGAACUGUAACUCUGCAAGGUACUGCUUCAAGACAAAUUCUGUGAUUCUGAUUAUUACCUGUAUGACACAGAUAUAGGACAAACUACUGUGUUGAAAAACGAUUUUACAUCCCUUAAAACACCUGUAAAUUGAUGAACAAUGAUUUUGUUCAACAUAAAAGUGCAAAUUCGUUCAUAAAAUGUUAACUCAUGAGUUAGUCUGGUUACUGUUCCUAAAAUGGACAUACAAAAAUAUAACUGACAAAA